AACGAACGCUGGCGGCAGGCUUAACACAUGCAAGUCGAGCGCCGUAGCAAUACGGAGCGGCAGACGGGUGAGUAACGCGUGGGAAUCUACCCAUCACUACGGAACAACUCCGGGAAACUGGAGCUAAUACCGUAUACGUCCUUCGGGAGAAAGAUUUAUCGGUGAUGGAUGAGCCCGCGUUGGAUUAGCUAGUUGGUGGGGUAAUGGCCCACCAAGGCGACGAUCCAUAGCUGGUCUGAGAGGAUGAUCAGCCACACUGGGACUGAGACACGGCCCAGACUCCUACGGGAGGCAGCAGUGGGGAAUAUUGGACAAUGGGCGCAAGCCUGAUCCAGCCAUGCCGCGUGAGUGAUGAAGGCCCUAGGGUUGUAAGGCUCUUUCACCGGUGAAGAUAAUGACGGUAACCGGAGAAGAAGCCCCGGCUAACUUCGCGCCAGCCGCCGCCGUAA
rnacentral:rRNA from 1 species